rnacentral:rRNA from 1 species
UAGGGAAUUUUCCGCAAUGGGCGCAAGCCUGACGGAGCAACGCCGCGUGAGAGAAGACGGUUUUAGGAUUGUAAAUCUCUGUUUUCGGGGAAGAAGAAAGUGACGGUACCCGAAUAGAAAGCCCCGGCUAACUACGUGCCAGCAGCCGCGGUAAUACGUAGGGGGCAAGCGUUGUCCGGAAUUAUUGGGCGUAAAGAGCGUGUAGGCGGUAGAUUAAGUUGGGUGUAAAAGGCAUUGGCUCAACCAAUGUAAGCAUCCAAAACUGGUUUACUUGAGUGCAGGAGAGGAGAGUGGAAUUCCCGGUGUAGCGGUGGAAUGCGUAGAUAUCGGGAGGAACACCAGUGGCGAAGGCGACUCUCUGGACUGUAACUGACGCUGAGACGCGAAAGCGUGGGGAGCAAACAGG